rnacentral:pre_miRNA from 1 species
AGUUGGAAACUACCGUUGGAUCGAGAAAUGGACGUCCGAAAUUCGUCCACGUCACCCUGAGUUAAAAUUUAACUCGCAGAUUCAUUCAUGAGUUAAAAUUUUACUGGGAGUUAAAUUUUAACUCAUGGUGGCAUGGACGAAUCUGCGAGUUAAAUUUUAACUCAUAGUGGCAUGGACGAAUCUCGGACAUCCAUUUCUCGAUCCAACGGUAGUUUCCAUGCACU